rnacentral:tRNA from 1 species
GAGGGUGUAGCUUGGUGGUAGAGCGUGUGCUUAGCAUGCAUGAGGUCCUGGGUUCAAUCCCCAGUACCGCCA